rnacentral:rRNA from 1 species
GACGAACGCUGGCGGCGUGCCUAAUACAUGCAAGUCGAACGAAGCUGUUUUAACUGGUGCUUGCACCGACUUAAACAACUGAGUGGCGAUCGGGUGAGUAACACGCUGGUAACCUGCCCCAAAGCGGGGGACACCAUUUGGAAACAGAUGCUAAUACAGCAUAACCACAGAAACCACAUGGUUUCUGUGUCAAAGAUGGUUUCGGCUAUCCCUUUGGGAUGGACCCGCGGCGUAUUAGCUAGUUGGUAAGGUAAUGGCUUACCAAGGCAAUGAUACGUAGCCGAACUGAGAGGUUGAUCGGCCACAUUGGGACUGAGACACGGCCCAAACUCCUACGGGAGGCAGCAGUAGGGAAUCUUCCACAAUGGACGAAAGUCUGAUGGAGCAACGCCGCGUGAGUGAAGAAGGUUUUCGGAUCGUAAAACUCUGUUGUCAGAGAAGAACGUGUGCGAGAGUAACUGCUCGUGCAGUGACGGUAUCUGGCCAGAAAGCCACGGCUAACUACGUGCCAGCCGCCGCAGUAA